rnacentral:rRNA from 1 species
CCUACGGGUGGCAGCAGUGAGGAAUAUUGGUCAAUGGACGAGAGUCUGAACCAGCCAAGUAGCGUGAAGGAUGACUGCCCUAUGGGUUGUAAACUUCUUUUAUAUGGGAAUAAAAUGUUCCACGUGUGGGAUUUUGUAUGUACCAUAUGAAUAAGGAUCGGCUAACUCCGUGCCAGCAGCCGCGGUAAUACGGAGGAUCCGAGCGUUAUCCGGAUUUAUUGGGUUUAAAGGGAGCGUAGGUGGAUUGUUAAGUCAGUUGUGAAAGUUUGCGGUUCAACCGUAAAAUUGCAGUUGAAACUGGCAGUCUUGAGUACAGUAGAGGUGGGCGGAAGUCGUGGUGUAGCGGUGAAAUGCUUAGAUAUCACGAAGAACUCCGAUUGCGAAGGCAGUUCACUGGACUGCAACUGACACUGAGGCUCGAAAGUGUGGGUAUCAAACAGGAUUAGAUACCCCAGUAGUC